rnacentral:rRNA from 1 species
GCUUCUUUUUCCCCGGAGCUUGCUCCACCGGAAAAAGAAGAGUGGCGAACGGGUGAGUAACACGUGGGUAACCUGCCCAUCAGAAGGGGAUAACACUUGGAAACAGGUGCUAAUACCGUAUAACAAUCGAAACCGCAUGGUUUUGAUUUGAAAGGCGCUUUCGGGUGUCGCUGAUGGAUGGACCCGCGGUGCAUUAGCUAGUUGGUGAGGUAACGGCUCACCAAGGCCACGAUGCAUAGCCGACCUGAGAGGGUGAUCGGCCACAUUGGGACUGAGACACGGCCCAAACUCCUACGGGAGGCAGCAGUGGGGAAUCUUCGGCAAUGGACGAAAGUCUGACCGAGCAACGCCGCGUGAGUGAAGAAGGUUUUCGGAACGUAAAACUCUGUUGUUAGAGAAGAACAAGGAUGAGAGUAACUGUUCAUCCCUUGACGGUAUCUAACCAGAAAGCCACGGCUAACUACGUGCCAGCAGCCGCGGUAAUACGUAGGUGGCAAGCGUUGUCCGGAUUUAUUGGGCGUAAAGCGAGCGCAGGCGGUUUCUUAAGUCUGAUGUGAAAGCCCCCGGCUCAACCGGGGAGGGUCAUUGGAAACUGGGAGACUUGAGUGCAGAAGAGGAGAGUGGAAUUCCAUGUGUAGCGGUGAAAUGCGUAGAUAUAUGGAGGAACACCAGUGGCGAAGGCGGCUCUCUGGUCUGUAACUGACGCUGAGGCUCGAAAGCGU